GUUACCCAGGGCGCAGGGUUUGGGGGCAGGUGCAGACUGGGGCCCAAGUGCGCACAGAGGCGUCUGCUGCUUCAUCUGAAGCACCGCGGAGUGCCAGGGCUUCGCUGUCCCUUGCGUACCUCAGUUUCCCUCUCUAUAACAAAACAGGUUUGGAACCCAGAGCUAAGUGCCCCUCACCACAAAACCUAUCUCAUGGUGGCUGUCGUUUUUGUUCGUGGACUGUAAAUGGAGGACACUGUACCGGCUUGAGAUGGCGCCUAGAGAUGCCCAGAGGGAGUGAUGACAUCAUUUGGAGGCGUCAAUACUCCCAAGGGCAAGACUACAUUUCCCAGAGUCCCUUGCAGCUAGGAAGCCUACCGCCAGUAGGGCCCUUGAGGUGGCUGCGAAACUGGAAGCCCUAAGCUAAAGAAGAAGCAGGAAGACAGAAGGUUCUGUUACUGAAGACUGUGUGGGAAUUCUAUUCAACAAUGUACUUCUUAGAAUUUUUUAAAAUGUGUGGGAGAAAUAAUUCUAUGUCCUUAUAAUCUACUUCUAAAGUAUCAAGUCUCUUUUAUCU